AGUGAACGCUGGCGGUAUGCCUAACACAUGCAAGUCGAACGGCAGCACAGUAAGAGCUUGCUCUUACGGGUGGCGAGUGGCGGACGGGUGAGGAAUACAUCGGAAUCUACUUUUUCGUGGGGGAUAACGUAGGGAAACUUACGCUAAUACCGCAUACGACCUACGGGUUAAAGCAGUGGAUCUUCGGACCUUUCGCGAUUGAAUGAGCCGAUGUCGGAUUAGCUAGUUGGCGGGGUAAAGGCCCACCAAGGCGACGAUCCGUAGCUGGUCUGAGAGGAUGAUCAGCCACACUGGAACUGAGACACGGUCCAGACUCCUACGGGAGGCAGCAGUGGGGAAUAUUGGACAAUGGGCGCAAGCCUGAUCCAGCCAUACCGCGUGGGUGAAGAAGGCCUUCGGGUUGUAAAGCCCUUUUGUUGGGAAAGAAAAGCAGCAGGUUAAUACCCCGAUGUUCUGACGGUACCCAAAGAAUAAGCACCGGCUAACUUCGUG
rnacentral:rRNA from 1 species